rnacentral:rRNA from 1 species
UACGUAGGGUGCGAGCGUUAAUCGGAAUUACUGGGCGUAAAGGGCGCGUAGGCGGAUAGUUUAGUCAGAGGUAAAAGCCCAGGGCUCAACCUUGGAACUGCCUUUGAUACUGGCUAUCUUGAGUUCGGGAGAGGUGAGUGGAAUGCCGAGUGUAGAGGUGAAAUUCGUAGAUAUUCGGCGGAACACCAGUGGCGAAGGCGACUCACUGGCCCGAUACUGACGCUGAGGCGCGAAAGCGUGGGGAGCAAACAGG